CCUGGCUCCGUAUGAACGCUAGCUACAGGCUUAACACAUGCAAGUCGAGGGGCAGCAUGGUCUUAGCUUGCUAAGACUGAUGGCGACCGGCGCACGGGUGAGUAACACGUAUCCAACCUGCCGUCUACUCUUGGACAGCCUUCUGAAAGGAAGAUUAAUACAAGAUGGCAUCAUGAGUCCGCAUGUUCACAUGAUUAAAGGUAUUCCGGUAGACGAUGGGGAUGCGUUCCAUUAGAUAGUAGGCGGGGUAACGGCCCACCUAGUCUUCGAUGGAUAGGGGUUCUGAGAGGAAGGUCCCCCACAUUGGAACUGAGACACGGUCCAAACUCCUACGGGAGGCAGCAGUGAGGAAUAUUGGUCAAUGGGCGAGAGCCUGAACCAGCCAAGUAGCGUGAAGGAUGACUGCCCUAUGGGUUGUAAACUUCUUUUAUAAAGGAAUAAAGUCGGGUAUGCAUACCCGUUUGCAUGUACUUUAUGAAUAAGGAUCGGCUAACUCCGUGCCAGCAGCCGCGGUAAUACGGAGGAUCCGAGCAUUAUCCGGAUUUAUGGGUUUAAAGGGAGCGUAGAUGGAUGUUUAAGUCAGUUGUGAAAGUUUGCGGCUCAACCGUAAAAUUGCAGUUGAUACUGGAUAUCUUGAGUGCAGUUGAAGCAGGCGGAAUUCGUGGUGUAGCGGUGAAAUGCUUAGAUAUCACGAAGAACUCCGAUUGCGAAGGCAGCCUGCUAAGCUGCAACUGACAUUGAGGCUCGAAAGUGUGGGUAUCAAACAGGAUUAGAUACCCUGGUAGUCCACACGGUAAACGAUGAAUACUCGCUGUUUGCGAUAUACGGCAAGCGGCCAAGCGAAAGCGUUAAGUAUUCCACCUGGGGAGUACGCCGGCAACGGUGAAACUCAAAGGAAUUGACGGGGGCCCGCACAAGCGGAGGAACAUGUGGUUUAAUUCGAUGAUACGCGAGGAACCUUACCCGGGCUUAAAUUGCAGAUGAAUUACGGUGAAAGCCGUAAGCCGCAAGGCAUCUGUGAAGGUGCUGCAUGGUUGUCGUCAGCUCGUGCCGUGAGGUGUCGGCUUAAGUGCCAUAACGAGCGCAACCCUUGUUGUCAGUUACUAACAGGUUCUGCUGAGGACUCUGACAAGACUGCCAUCGUAAGAUGUGAGGAAGGUGGGGAUGACGUCAAAUCAGCACGGCCCUUACGUCCGGGGCUACACACGUGUUACAAUGGGGGGUACAGAGGGCCGCUACCACGCGAGUGGAUGCCAAUCCCCAAAACCUCUCUCAGUUCGGACUGGAGUCUGCAACCCGACUCCACGAAGCUGGAUUCGCUAGUAAUCGCGCAUCAGCCACGGCGCGGUGAAUACGUUCCCGGGCCUUGUACACACCGCCCG
rnacentral:rRNA from 1 species